CUACGGGUUGCUGCAGUGGGGAAUUUUUCGCAAUGGGGGAAACCCUGACGAAGCAACGCCGCGUGGAGGAUGAAGGCCUUCGGGUCGUAAACUCCUGUCGACUGGGAAGAAUGCACCUGACCUAAUACGUCAAAGUGUUGACUGUACCGGUGGAGGAAGCCACGGCUAACUCUGUGCCAGCAGCCGCGGUAAUACAGAGGUGGCAAGCGUUGUUCGGAAUUACUGGGCGUAAAGGGCGCGUAGGCGGCCCGCCAAGUCCCGUGUGAAAUCCCCCGGCUCAACCGGGGAACGGCGCGGGAAACUAGCAGGCUUGAGUUCGGGAGAGGGAAGCGGAAUUCCGGGUGUAGCGGUGAAAUGCGCAGAUAUCCGGAGGAACACCGGUGGCGAAGGCGGCUUCCUGGACCGACACUGACGCUGAGGCGCGAAAGCUAGGGGAGCAAACGGGAUUAGAUACCCGAGUAGUC
rnacentral:rRNA from 1 species